rnacentral:misc_RNA from 1 species
UAGUAAGAUAAAAGCUACUUAAAAUUUCCGAAAUUUUUCACAUAGAAGCCACAGAAGUGGGAUUAACCCUGCUGCAAACAUCGCGAAUUUCCAAUUGAGCGCCAGCGGAGGGAGGUAAAUUCCCCAUUUUGAUCAUAGCAGCAGCAAAAUCUUCAAGAAAAACAGUAACAUUGUUGCUAUAAGUGGUUACAAAACCAGCAGUUGUAGUAUUCCCAGUCAAAACUUGAUCCGAGAACAUUAUCCCUUGGUUGUUGUUUAAGUUAUCAUAGUAAACUUUGUCGAACACAGCAGGAGUUGUAUCCAAUUGUUGCAAAUCGGAAUCAGUUAGCGUGGCGGAGCAG